rnacentral:rRNA from 1 species
UGGGCAACCUGCCUCAUAGAGGGGAAUAGCCUUCCGAAAGGGAGAUUAAUACCGCAUAAGAUUGUAGCUUCGCAUGAAGUAGCAAUUAAAGGAGCAAUCCGCUAUGAGAUGGGCCCGCGGCGCAUUAGCUAGUUGGUGAGGUAACGGCUCACCAAGGCGACGAUGCGUAGCCGACCUGAGAGGGUGAUCGGCCACAUUGGGACUGAGACACGGCCCAGACUCCUACGGAAGGCAGCAG